rnacentral:rRNA from 1 species
GACGAAGGGGGCUAGCGUUGUUCGGAAUUACUGGGCGUAAAGCGUGCGCAGGCGGUUGUGUAAGACAGAUGUGAAAUCCCCGGGCUCAACCUGGGAACUGCAUUUGUGACUGCACGGCUGGAGUGCGGUAGAGGGGGAUGGAAUUCCGCGUGUAGCAGUGAAAUGCGUAGAUAUGCGGAGGAACACCGAUGGCGAAGGCAAUCCCCUGGGCCUGCACUGACGCUCAUGCACGAAAGCGUGGGGAGCAAACAGG